rnacentral:lncRNA from 1 species
CUUGUAAAUUCUAAUUAUAACACAAAAUCACUGUAACUUUUACUUCCUUUCUUUUUUAGUUUUUUAAGCAAUAAUAUACUGCUGGCUCAUUUUUGACCAUUGAUAAAUUAUGGUAGUUGAGAAUCAAGUUAUAUAGUAACAGUAACUAUUUUCCUUUCCUUAGAUCAUUUGGGUGAUAAAAAGCAGCCCAGUGACUCCUCCAUCCAUAGAAAUCGAGUGUUGCUGUGUUGCCUAGGCUGGCCUCUAACUCCUGCCUCAAGAGAUCCUCCUGCCUCAGCCUCCCAAGUAGCUGGGACUAUACAAGUGCACAACACCAAACCAGAUCAUUAAAAUGUAAUACUCAUGAUCCAGCAUUCUCAAAGGAAAGCUUACAUUUACACACAACUGUAAGGUCACAUUUACAUUUUUAAAAGAAAAUGAUAGCAUAUAACUUUAUAUAUCUAAGAGUAAUUCUUUGCUAGACAUUAGUAUUUCUUCCUUAAUCACUGGAUUAAGUGAUUAAACACUUCCUUGAUCAGUGUUUCUCAAACUUUUUUUUUUUUAACUACAUUCACAUCAAGAAAUACAUUUCCCCCUGUGAUCCAGUACAUGUACAGAUAUACAUGCACAAACACACACACACGUAAAUACACACACACUACUGAAACAAAAGUUUCACAAAACAAUAUUUGUUAUUGUAUUAAUUCCUUACACCUUAUACAAAAAUUAAUUCAAGAUGUAUUAAAGACGUAAAUGUUAGACCUAAAACCAUAAAAACCCUGGGAGAAAACCUAGGCAUUACCAUUCAGGACAUAGGCAUGGGCAAGGACUUCAUGUCCUAGAACACCAAAAGCAAUGGCAACAAAAGCCAAAAUUGACAAAUGGGAUCUAAUUAAACUAAAGAGCUUCUGCACAGCAAAAGAAACUACCAUCAGAAUGAACAGGCAACCUACAGAAUGGGAGAAAAUGUUUGCAACCUACUCAUCUGACAAAGGGCUAAUAUCCAGAAUCUACAAUGAACUCAAACAAAUAUACAAGAAAAAAACAAACAACACCAUCAAAAAGUGGGCAAAGGAUAGGAACAGACACUUCUCAAAAGAAGACUUUUAUGCAGCCAAAAAACACAUGAAAAAAUGCUCACCAUCACUGGCCAUCAGACAAAUGCAAAUCAAAACCACAAUGAGAUACCAUCUCACACCAGUUAGAAUGGCGAUCAUUCAAAAGUCAGGAAACAAUGGGUGCUGGAGAGGAUGUGGAGAAAUAGG